rnacentral:rRNA from 1 species
AUAGCGUAUAUUAAAGUUGUUGCAGUUAAAAAGCUCGUAGUUGAAAUUUGGGCCUGGCUGGCCGGUCCGCCUCACCGCGUGUACUGGACUGGCCGGGCCUUUCCUUCUGGGGAAGCUCAUGGUCUUUAUUGACUGUGUGGGGAACCAGGACUUUUACUUUGAAAAAAUUAGAGUGUUCAAAGCAGGCCUUUGCUCGAAUACAUUAGCAUGGAAUAAUGGAAUAGGACGGCUUUCCUAUUUUGUUGGUUUCUAGGAGAGCCGUAAUGAUUAAUAGGGACAGUCGGGGGCAUCAGUAUUCAAUUGUCAGAGGUGAAAUUCUUGGAUUUAUUGAAGACUAACUACUG